rnacentral:rRNA from 1 species
GACGAACGCUGGCGGCGUGCUUAACACAUGCAAGUCGAACGGUAAGGCCCCUUCGGGGGUACGACGAGUGGCGAACGGGUGAGUAACACGUGAGCAACCUGCCCUUGACUUCGGAAUACCAGCUGGAAACAGCUGCUAAUACCGGAUAUGACUCCGACCGUCCUCGGUCGGGGUGGAAAGCUCCGGCGGUCAGGGAUGGGCUCGCGGCCUAUCAGCUUGUUGGUGAGGUAAUGGCUCACCAAGGCUUCGACGGGUAGCCGGCCUGAGAGGGCGACCGGCCACACUGGGACUGAGAUACGGCCCAGACUCCUACGGGAGGGCAGCAGUGGGGAAUAUUGCACAAUGGGCGCAAGCCUGAUGCAGCAACGCCGCGUGCGGGAUGACGGCCU